AUUCGAAACAACGCGAAUAACCUUACCAAUUUUUGUAUAAAGUUAAAUGAAACUUUACAGGACUGCAUGGCUGUCGUCAGCUCGUGCCGUGAGGUGUCGGGUUAAGUCCUUUAACGAGCGAAACCCCUGUCGCCAGUUGCCAGCAUUUAGUUGGGGACUCUGGCGAGACCGCCGGUGUUAAACCGGAGGAAGGCGGGGACGACGUCAAGUCAUCAUGGCCCUUACGACCAGGGCUACACACGUGCUACAAUGGAUGGAAC
rnacentral:rRNA from 1 species